ensembl:lncRNA
GACUCAUGGUGGUGCGGACGGAGCAGCGGCUGCCUCUCCUUCCGGCCGCUGGAGGAACGCAGGAUCAGCGCUCUGCUCCUCCGCGCUGGAUCACGAUCAGACUAUAGGUUUACACCCUUAAUGUGGACCCGAAGAGCAUCAUGUACCGGAGGCGCCCGGAGUCUGACGUCACCGCGGCUCAGAUGAUGUCCCUGCAGUCCAGCCGAGUUCCUGCUUCUGCAUCUGCCAGUCCUCCUCCUCCUCCGGGACUCCUGCGGGGCUGCACUCCUGAUUCUCGCUAGUCGGCGCUGUUGCAUCAUGCAGUCUCUGAACCGUGGCUCGGAGCCAUCUCCAAGCGCGCUCACUUGACUUUACGUGCACGGGCACGUGCACCCCGCAAUGAGCGCACGCCAGUCCCUGACCCCGAAAAAGAGGCGCAGCAGACACAGUUUGCUGCCAUUAUGCAGUGUGGGGUAAAUUACUUCUAAAGAGUAAUAGAAUACUUUACUUACUGUAUCAAAUUAACAAUUAAACUACUUUACUCAGUACCUAUUUGAAAGAGUAAUUAACUUAAUUUUCUUCCUCUCAUCUACAAAUUCUCGAGGGGAAAACAGUUUGCACAAACUUUAUUUUUAAAGUAAUGACCCCGUGCAAAGUUUGAACCUGGUACAAGACAUAAUCUGGUUUUAUUAGAAUUCAGACAACAGUGUGAACAAUGAUACCAAAAUAAGUUACAACACGCGUGGUCAAAGUGAGAUGAAGCUUACGCAUGGAUCCAUAUCUAUCAAAGCUGAAACGAAGCCACUCUCUUGAAAACACAAAGAACUGUUUUAUGCCUCGUGUUCAUUUUCUCUGACUUUGGUUUUCCAGUACAGUAAGUUGAACCUGUUUCUCUCUCUACACCUGCCUGUUGUGCACUGCUGCGAGUCCACCGAUACCCCACCCCCCUUUGCGGAGCGCGUUAACAGAGACGCAGUCACCUGCAGCUUAGGGAGAAAAAAAAAGUAAGAAAGGGUAAAAUAUCAUAGAAAAGAAAGGCUCCCAGGAAGGAGUCGACUCACGUCUCUCACACCAAAGAGACAACUUUAGAGUUAUUUGACUCUCAACUGACACAUCAGCACUCUGGGUGGGCCGCUGCUCGCCCUCUGCUCGCCCGCUGCUCGCCCGCUGCUCCCCCGCUGCUCGCCCGCUGCUCGCCCGCUGCUCCUUGGGGAUGAGAAGACUCCUUGCAGCAUCUCUUUUCUGCUCAUCUUUGAGCCAGUUUGGAAAACGAUGUGACUGCAGCACUGAGGGCCUGUCUGUGCCAUCCCCAAACCCUGCGCGUACAUGCCAGUAACUGUUUUUUUUUAAUUAACCUCCGUUUUGUUUAAUUCAACCAAAGGAAAAUGUCAAAAUCUACAAAAGCAAAGUAGCAAGGGCUUCUAUAGUGCAAUAAUUGUAAUUAAUUAACAAAAUUUAAAUUGUAAUUUAUGAAGUUCUUCUAAUUCUGAGCAAAAAACUACAGUAAUUCGUUACUUUGUAAUCUGUUACCCAUAACACUGCCAAUAUGGUUCAUUUUCAAUAAAAAAAAUAACAAAUUGGUUUUAUUUUUUAGUGCUACUAUAGCUUUGAUAAACGAUCUCCACCAAGUUGUCUUUUAAUUAUGGUUUUCUGUAGUGCAUUUAGUGCAGUGGCCAUCCUCGUGCACAUGGGUAAUUUUCUGAUUUUUUUGAACAUCUGCUGUGUUGCGUGUUGUUGAAGUUGGCACACCAGCUUCAUCUUUCCUGUUCUAAACUUUUUUUUUCUGACUGAAAGGAAAAGAACAGCAGCAUUGCUUUAACAUGAUCUGUGCAGAUGUCACGCGCACUGAUGAAACUCUGAUUUACAAACCGAAACAUGAAGGUUGCAGGGCUGGGAUUGCUGUGCAGCUGUACGGCAAGUAAAAAGGAUCAAUAUACGCUCAGGCCGAACCAAAUUAGCCAAACUUAAAAAAAAAAAUCUGUGAGCCAAAAAACAAAAUAGAAGAUCUUGAUUUAAAUAAGGUCCUCACUGCAGCACAUCAACGCCAGUACAUCAGACAAACAAAGAAGAGUAAAAAUGAGUUAAACUAAAAUAUAUAAACCCAGCCUUCUGAUGAUUUUGAGGAUGCAACACUGAAUUGGUUUUCUGUGGGCUUCCGGC